GACGAACGCUGGCGGCGUGCUUAACACAUGCAAGUCGAGCGGUAAGGCCUCGGGUACGACGAGCGGCGAACGGGUAGGAGUAACAACGUGGGUGGACCUCGCCCUUACGUCUCUGGGAGUAAAGCCUCGGGAAACGUAGGGUCGUAAUACCGGAUAUGACCUCAUGACGCAUGUUGUGGGGUGGAAAGCCUUGUGCGGCUAGGGAGUGGGCCCGGCCGGCCUAUCAGCUUGUU
rnacentral:rRNA from 1 species